rnacentral:misc_RNA from 1 species
GCAUAUAAAAGUAGCCCAUGGUCGGCCCUUGCUCUUAUAUCAGUUAUAUUUUCUAUAAUCUUCAAAAAUGGCAUUAUCAGUCUCCAUUAGAUAUGGCCUGUUGAUUUUAGUAGUAUUUCUUGUCUGGAUCUCUAUGUUUUGCUGCAACUUAGGGAAGGCAUAUGGUGAAGAAGUGCCUCAGAAAGGCACAGGCCUUGCAGGAUAUGAUCCUUUCACUGGUGUAGGCGUUGUAGGAGAUGAGCCUCACACAGGCACAGAUGUGGUAGGAGGAGAUGUGCCUCAAACAGGCACAGGCGUUGUAGAUUAUGAUCCGGCUAGAAUUGUGGCCAAAGCCUUGCUAUGUUUUAAUGAGAAACAUAUUUACAGCAGCUGUGAAGAAGCCUAUCGAUUGACUGAGAGUGGAGAUAUCAAUGUGCCUCAUGAAUAUGUUGAUCAAUAUUGCAAUGGACCAUGCCUCUCAGAGGUCAAUUUGGUGCUCAAUUGCAUAGAAAACAUUAUGACACACUUUGUAUUCUACAAUAAGGCCACCAUACAGGAUAUUAAAGACACAAUCAAGGCAGGAUGCAGCUAUGGCCCUGAAAGAGGUGAUUUCAAUGUGGCAGAGCACCUUCAAGCCCAAGAAAACAGAGCAUACAUGAAUCAAAUCCAGAUUGUCUUUGGACUUGGCUUCAUGAUCACAGGGCACGCUUUAUUGCUUUAAUAUUUAUGCUGAUAUAUCAAAUAUUUUGUUUUAAGACAUGGAAGAAUGUAGUUUCUUUUGCCAUUAUUAUGCAACUCUAAAAAGAAAACAAUAAUAAGACUAUAUAUACUUUUAAACUUGACUUGCUGAGUUGCAUUUAGUUCCAGUAGUGCCGGACAAAGAUAUUUCUUAUCUGUGCUAGAAAUGAGCUGGAGUCGGGUCUUAUUCAAGAUAAUGAAGAAUUAUGCAACCACCACUCAAACCCAAAAUCAUUCCUUAAAAGAUGUUCAAUCUUUUCACAAUUUUCAAAUAUCGCUCAUCUCAUCUAUGCACGACUCAAUCAUCACGCAACUGGUCCAAUUGUAAUGAAUCAAGAUGCGUUGAUUUUUUCUGACAAAUUGACCCUAUGCUCUGCGGCCAAAAGCAAUCUGACUUAUUUCGUUACAAGGAAUAUUAUGGUAUUAUGAUCAAAGUAUGGUAUUGGUAUCUCUCAUCAAUCGGAUAAAGCUCCUUAUAAUGCAGAUUAACGCCCUUUAAUCUUUUCAUGGCACCUUUCAAGAACCUUUUCACAGAACCUUUUCACUGCUUUCUUGAAAGUCUCAACAACUCUCCCAUGCCCUUUCUCAAGAUCAAGAACCCAUCUUUUAGCCACUUACUUUCUCCUUCUCUCACUUCUCUUGCUCUCGACUUCACUAGCCAGCCACUCUUCAUCCUUCACCGCCUCUGCUCUCUCUUCUCGCCUUCUCUUUGCGGCAAUCUGUAUCUCUCCCUUCUCUUCAAUCAAAUCAUCGAACACAUGUCUCGUCUCGAACUUGCCCGAUAAUUGCACGCUUUCUUCUGUCACUGCAAUGGAAUCGAAGGAAUUCAGGAAAAGAAAAAACUGAUGUGAUUUCAGACCUUAGUUCUUAUGAUAUCUUUAAUGGUAAGUGGGUUGUUGACAAUGCUGAUCCUACAUUUACCAACCUGGCCCAUUUGCCGAUGAUGCCUUUAACUGCUUCAACCGAUGGAGGCCGCAUGGGUGUCGAAUUCCAAGGUCUAAGGUCGAUUCCAUUUUAUUCGGUUUUCUAGAUUUUGGCGCUCUAUAAUGUGUUGUUAGAAUUGUGCAGGUUCGAUGGGAGAAAGAUGUUGGAGAUGCUGAGAGGGAAGAGGUUGGUGUUCGUGGAAGACUCAUUGAAUAGAAAAAUGUGGGAAUCUUUGGUCUGUGCAUUGAGAGAAUCAUUGAAGAAUAAGAGUAGAAUCUUUGAAGUCUCCGGACUCCGGAGUUGAGGACUAGGGUUCUAACAUUACAAAUUUAUUGUGAGUUCCCCUAAUAUUUUCAGGCCUUUGGUAUCUUUCGUGAUUAUGUCCCUGUUAGUUACCUUUUGUAUACCUCACUGCUCACUUCAACCUUUUGAACUCUGCAACUCAUAUGUUUCUGUUUUCUUAGUCCCCUUUGUUAUGGCUGGAUGAUAAUCUGCAUUUAGAUGUUUGUAAUAGUAUAUUAAUCAUGUGGGUUGGGCCAUGAAAGCAUUAUAAACUAUGGCUUACAAAAUUCAUGGCAUGUAGAAAUGCUUCUAGUUACCUUCCACUACCACUUAUCAGUUCUGAAGAACGGAGGAGACUAGGAGUGUAAGGAGAGGGGAGUUUACUAUCUCAAUAAUCAAUAGAUUUUGCCAAAAUUUGACCAUGCUUUUGCAAUGAUGUAGGACGAUAACUCCUCAAUAGAUUUUGUCAAAUCACCAUUCCUUGUUCAAGAAUGGAAAGCCUCAAGUCGAAGAGCUACAAGGAGUAAUCUGCUUGUCAAAUUCUUACAGAGAUAAAUAAACAAUCCGAAACCCUUUUCUAAUCAUCAUCAUCAUCUGGAGUUAUGAGCCAACCAAUAGUCCUGAUAUCCUUGAUCUUUUGUUAUUGCAGAAGAGAUUACUUCCAAGAGGGCAGUCAUGUAUGUAACAGGCUACAAGUGACUGAAGCGUAUACCAAAGCUUUGCAGACAAGGGCAUAAUGGGUUGAUGCUAAUAUUGACACUAGUCGUACGAUGUUCUUCUUCCUCGGAUGCUCAGCUUCUCACUUGAGGUAACCGUAUGCUUAUAUACCAAAUUUUUUUUUAUAGUUCAUCUCCUAGAAACAUAAUUGCUCUUGUAUGAAUGAUUAAAUACAUUAACCAUUUUCUUUUUGAUAUUUUAUGCCUUUGUAUUCUAAAGUUAUAGUCUUAUUAAUAUUUAUUAUAUUUAAUUAUAGACUGUCACCCUAAUUUUUAAAAAAUUUACUUCAGUUUAGAAGAAAAUUUUUCAUCGAUUGUCUAUUCUAAUUUAAAAUUUUUAUUUAAACUUAAUUUACCUUGUAUGAUGGAUCGGGUCUUAAUUUAGACAAGAAUUCGUAGAGAGUUUGUAGAAUAACGAUAUGCCACGUCAUUCAAUUAAGUGACUGCUACCGUGUCCAAGUAAAGCUCCCCGAACUCAUGUCGACAUAGAACAUGACAGAAGCUUUUUCGUACUCUUCAAAACGACGGACUCUCCUUUUCCUUGGCUCGUGCGUCGAGACAUUACCUCCCCCUUCCUUCUUAGAACCUGCGUUCAGCGGACACGUGUUAUCACCAGCAAAACGCAUCGGCGUCGUGGAGGAUCAGCAUUUAUCGCCGGUGAAGAAGAUGAAGAUCAACGUCAACAAAAUAGCUCGAAAAGUCGUGGUCGAUAAUCGGAUUCCUUUCCGAUACUAUUACAAAAUCGCCGAUAAUCUCCUUGGACAGGUUUGCUUGUCUUCUUCUAAUUCCCUCUUGAUUGCAUUUAGAGGUUGUUACCUGUAUUAGAUGAGCUUGAAGCUUUGAAGCCAGAAUUCCAACUUUAAGUGGAUGAGCUGAACAAAGCUUAUGAUAGAAUUCAGCUGCGCGAACUUGAUGGGCCAGAAAGGAUUUCAUACGGUUCUGAGCCAUCUUCUUCAGAAUGCCCCUCUUACUCGAACACCAGUGUGAAGCAGCCUUCUGGUGUGGCACGUCAGUUGUCCUGGAAGUACAACAACAAUCAUACUCGAGUUUCAUCUUCAUGCUCGAGUUUCAUCUUCAAACUCCCCAUAAUUUGACAAGCAGUUGCAGAAGCUGUGACUGUUCCAAGAUUACAGUUUUGCAUUUAGAGACAUGAGACCUGUAGAUGAUUCUUCUUGGCGAAUAUUUUAGAAGUUGGGAUCCCUUCUAUUUUCUACAUGCCACAUCGGUUCCUGUCAACUUGUGCCUGACUUAAGUUGAUUCCUUUUUUAUGUGAGAUGAAAAUUCAACUUAUGAAAAGCUUCCUGCUUUGUCAGUCAAUUUGACCAGUUAAGGCACUCAAUUGCACAAAAAAAGUGUUCACGCUCAAAAUGUCAUUGAAAAUUAGUUUAGACACUGCCUGUCUAUAUAACAUUUUGCAAUUUAUUUGCUUUAGCAGGCUAAAUUCUGUAAGAAUGGUACGUUAAUUUCUUAAUAUUUGCGGAUCUAUUUGUUUACCACUUCCCAGCAAGAGACUUCGUCUAGACACUCAUUCUUAGGGCCCUAUGGUCUUUGGGGCCAAUGGCAAGGAUGUGCUGAGAUAAAGAUAAAAAAUAUUGGGUGCUUUUUUCCCCCUUUUCUCCUCCAUCCUACUUUCUUUUUUUUGUGCAGUAAGACGUGCAAAUAUGCAUUGGCUGAUCCACCAAAUUUUUUAAUAAAGGUCCAAUAUCCAACCUAUACUGACUUAAUCUCUUCUGAAAAUUUAAGCCGGGAUCAGGCGCAGAGUAUGGUACUGAGGCAGUAAAAGAUAGCGAUUUUGAGAGCCUUGGCUCUACAAUGGAAUCAGUGCUCUCUUUAGAUGAUGGGAGAUGGUCAAGAACUGUUGAAGAGUCUUCCCCUGCAUUAAUUAAUGAAGCAAGGGAAGAUCCUUUCCAGUUCGUUGGUAUUAGGCAAACUUCACCACCUCCUGUUCUUGCUCAAGUGCAUGACUUUUCUCCUAUUCAUCCAUUGAAAGUCACAGAUCCAAGACCAGGACCAGCAAAAUCUUCCCAGGAUGGGAUUCCUAGCUCAAAUUCAUAUCAACAUUUACAUGUUGUAGGUGUCAUAUGCUGUUCUCCAUGCUUUUUUAAGAAUAUAUAUGUAAAUGUAUUUACUCAUUUGUUUGUUUAGCAUCAAUUGUUCAUCGUGGCAAUUUAUCUUUAUACUUUGAUGGUUAUGUGCUCUAAAUGCUUGAUGACUUGGAUGCUAGUUUCUGAGAUCCUUCUAACAAACAUUGCAGCCUGUAAAUUUGAUGGAAGACUUCUUGAGAUUAGCUCGUGAAAAUACACAGAAAAAUUUAGAAACAUGUGGUGUUCUUGCCGGUUAUCUGAAAAACAGGGUUUUCCACCUCACUACGCUUAUAAUCCCAAAGCAAGAGUCAACU